UGCUUCUCUGGAUGAGUUGCGAACGGGUGUGUAUCGCGUAUGUCCCUGCCUGGUCCGGGGGGAUCUAUUGGAAAACCGUUGCUUACCGCAUAUAAGAAUCUGUUGCAUGACAUUUGCUUAAUGAGUGGUGUUGUCUCUCUACCAGAUGGACCUGAGUUGUAUUAUCUAGUUGGAGGGGUAACGGCUCAGCGUGGCGACCAUCCAUAGCCGACCUGAGAGGGUGAUCUGACACGCUGAGACUGAGACACGGCCCUGACUCCUACGGGAGGCUCCUAUAGGGAAUCUUCGGCAAUGGACGGAAGUCUGACCGAGCAACGCCACGUGAGUGAAGAAGGUUUUCGGAUCGUGUCUCUCUAUUGUAAAACUCUAACGAUUGUGACAAUGGAAUUUUCUCACUGUGACGGUAUCUUACCACAGAGGGACAGCUAACUACCUGCCAUCACCCGCGGCCAUACGUAGGUCCCGAGCGUUGUCCGGAUUUAUUGUCCGUAAUUCGAGCGCAUGCGGUUAGAUCAGUCUGACGUUCAAGGCUGUGGCUUAACCAUAGUACUCUUUGGAGACUGUUUAUCUUGACUGCUAGAGUGGAGAGUGGAAUUCCAUGUGUGAC
rnacentral:rRNA from 1 species